AUGGCGAGGUGGAUGGGCUCCGGUGGGCAAGGCGAGGCCGCCGUCCUGGCGGCGGUGGAGGACGGCCAAGGGGACCGCGCGCUGCACCUGGCGGCCGCGGCGGGGCGGCUCGAGGUCUGCAGGUACCUCGUCCAGGACCUCCGCCUCGAUGUCAAUCAGCUCAACUUCAUAGGUGACACGCCACUGUACCUUUCUGCCUCAUAUGGGAGAGCUGAUGCUGCAAGAUAUCUUCUUGAUCAUGGUGCUGAUCCAGGCAAAGUACACUCACCUCUCCAUGGCGCUGCAAAGGAAGGACAUUGUGAAAUAGUACAACUACUGCUUUCAAGAGGAAUCAAUGUGGAUUUAGAUUCUGCACAAGGGACACCAUUGCAUGCAGCUGCUAUUUCUAAACACCAUGACAUAAUUAAGAUAUUGUUGGAGCACCAUGCCAAUCCUAACAAGGUUUACGGUCUUGGUUAUACCCCAUUGAGUUGGGCCAUCCGUGCCAUCAGGCCCAUGCCUAGAGAGCCGUUGGAAUGUGUCAAGCUACUUGUUAAGGCUGGUGCUGAUAUGAAUUUUAUUGACUUAGAUGGUGGUAGUUACGUGAUGUUGGCAGUGAAGUUUGACUCACCUGGCAUCAUGAAGUUCUUACUAGAUGCUGGUGCUAACCCCAAUAUUCCCGAUGAAGUGAGCUUUACUUGUUUUCCUGUUUUGCUGUUUUCACUUGUCAUCAUCUACUUUUCAUGCAUAUGCUUGUGGUAG
rnacentral:rRNA from 1 species